AACGAACGCUGGCGGCGCGCCUAAUACAUGCAAGUCGAGCGAGAAGGUGUAGCAAUACACUUGUAAAGCGGCGAACGGGUGAGGAAUACAUGGGUAAUCUACCAUCGAGUGGGGAAUAACCAACCGAAAGGUUGGCUAAUACCGCGUACGCCUCCGGGUCUUCGGGUUCGGAGGGAAAGCUGCACUGUGAGUGUAGCGCUCUUUGAUGAGCUCAUGUCCUAUCAGCUUGUUGGUAGGGUAACGGCCUACCAAGGCUUUGACGGGUAGCUGGUCUGAGAGGACGAUCAGCCACACUGGCACUGCGACACGGGCCAGACUCCUACGGGAGGCAGCAGUAAGGAAUAUUGCGCAAUGGGCGAAAGCCUGACGCAGCGACGCCGCGUGGGGGAUGAAGGUCUUCGGAUUGUAAACCCCUUUCGGGAGGGAAGAUGGAGCGAGCAAUCGUUCGGACGGUACCUCCAGAAGCAGCCACGGCCAACUUCGUGCCAGCAGCC
rnacentral:rRNA from 1 species